GGAGGGGUGGCCGAGCGGCUGAAGGCAGCGGUCUUGAAAACCGCCGACGGGAGACCGUCCUAGAGUUCGAAUCUCUAUCUUUCCGCCA
rnacentral:tRNA from 1 species